GGACGGGUGAGUAAUGUCUGGGAAACUGCCUGAUGGAGGGGGAUAACUACUGGAAACGGUAGCUAAUACCGCAUAACGUCGCAAGACCAAAGAGGGGGACCUUCGGGCCUCUUGCCAUCGGAUGUGCCCAGAUGGGAUUAGCUAGUAGGUGGGGUAACGGCUCACCUAGGCGACAAUCCCUAGCUGGUCUGAGAGGAUGACCAGCCACACUGGAACUGAGACACGGUCCAGACUCCUACGGGAGGCAGCAUG
rnacentral:rRNA from 1 species